CAUGUCCUCACUCUGUCCAAUAAAACAUGUCUCAGGUUUGUCAAAAUUUGGAUGUAUCUAGACAUGACUCAGUGGAUAGAUGCAUUCAAAUUUAGUCAAAGUUGAGACAUCUUUUGUUGGACGGAGGAAGUAUAAC
rfam:Brachypodium distachyon strain Bd21 chromosome 2, whole genome shotgun sequence.